rnacentral:rRNA from 1 species
AUGCAAGCUCCAUUUCUUCUGCUGCCGUUGUCAGUUUUUUGCUGCUGCUGGCUUGGAGCUCUUCACCUGCUGUCAUUUGAAAAACACCAUCAUCAGGGAAAGAGCAUGCAAGGUGAAGGUUAUAAGGAUCUCAAUAUGACAUCAGCUGCAGGUUGUACCCUCUUCUUAGGCUCCCGUGGCUUUGACUCGGCCUUCUUGAUGCCACCCUUGGCGGCUGCUGGCUUGGUCGCCGUGGCACUGAGCUUCGCAGGCCCCUUGGCGGCACUAACCUUGGUAGGCUCCUUGGCCUGCCCUUCAAGUCCGGUUGGCUUCACGGCCUUCAGGGAUGCCAUUCUUAUAUGCUGCUCUGUUCCGGCACUGGAAGGCUUAGAACUGUCGUGUGCUUGA